GAGACNCGGUCCAGACUCCUACGGGAGGCAGCAGUGGGGAAUCUUCCGCAAUGGACGAAAGUCUGACGGAGCAACGCCGCGUGNACGAAGAAGGUCUUCGGAUUGUAAAGUUCUGUGAUUCGGGACGAAAGGGUUUGUGGUGAAUAAUCAUAGACAUUGACGGUACCGAAAAAGCAAGCCACGGCUAACUACGUGCCAGCAGCNGCGGUAAUACGUAGGUGGCGAGCGUUGUCCGGAAUUAUUGGGCGUAAAGCGCGCGCAGGCGGCUUCUUAAGUCCAUCUUAAAAGCGUGGGGCUCAACCCCAUGAGGGGAUGGAAACUGGGAAGCUGGAGUAUCGGAGAGGAAAGUGGAAUUCCUAGUGUAGCGGUGAAAUGCGUAGAGAUUAGGAAGAACACCGGUGGCGAAGGCGACUUUCUAGACGAAAACUGACGCUGAGGCGCGAAAGCGUGGGGAGCAAACAGG
rnacentral:rRNA from 1 species